rnacentral:rRNA from 1 species
UACAGAGGUCUCAAGCGUUGUUCGGAUUCAUUGGGCGUAAAGGGUGCGUAGGUGGCGCCGUAAGUCGGGUGUGAAAUUUCGGAGCUUAACUCCGAAACUGCAUUCGAUACUGCCGUGAUUGAGGACUGGAGAGGAGACUGGAAUUUACGGUGUAGCGGUGAAAUGCGUAGAUAUCGUAAGGAAGACCAGUGGCGAAGGCGGGUCUCUGGACGAGUUCCU